rnacentral:rRNA from 1 species
GCUGUGUCCGGUCCAGGAGCGGGGGUAAUACGGGGGGGGCUUGGGUUGGUGGGAAGGAAUGGGCGUAAAGCGCACGUAGGCGGGUGUGUAAGUUAGGGGUGAAAGCCCGGGGCUCAACUCCGGAAUUGCCUUUAAGACUGCAUCGCUAGAAUUGUGGAGAGGUAAGUGGAAUUCCGAGUGUAGAGGUGAAAUUCGUAGAUAUUCGGAAGAACACCAGUGGCGAAGGCGACUUACUGGACACAUAUUGACGCUGAGGUGCGAAAGCGUGGGGAGCAAACAGGAUUAGAUACCCCAGUAGUC